GUACUUUGGCAGCACAUAUACCAAAAUUGGAAGGAUAAAGAGAUUAAUGUGACCCUUCUGCAGGAUGCCAUGGAAAAUUUGUGCAGUGUUCUAUAUUGUU
ensembl:snRNA U6 U6 spliceosomal RNA